ensembl:lncRNA
CUGAGAAUUGGUGUCCAGAUGCUGGAAUACAGCAAUGUGAGGAAGAGAAGAAGGGAAGUGGGUCCCUGGGACCCAGCAAGGAUCUGAAGCUAGAAUUGAAGUCCACAGGGAGAGUGAAGACAGAGACCUCAACACAGAAGGAGGAGGUGGCAAACCGUGCUUUCUGCCUGAGCCCUGACUCACUGCAUGGGAGGGGCAGCUCAAACCUGGAGAUGCACAGUGACUACUGGUGACCCCAGAGACCUCCACGGAGGAACACACCAGUGGAACAGAUCAGUGGACACAGCAGACCAAAGAGGCUGUUUUUUUGUUGGGGUUGUUUUCUUCUUUUCUUGUUUUUAUUUUUUAUUUUUUUUGUUACUUGUUUUUAUUUUUUCUCUUACCCUUCUGUCUUCUUCACCAGUUUCCCAAAGUUUGCAUAAUCAUUCUUUGUCCUCCAGCCUUGCUUCUAAUCUCUUCCUCUUCUUCUACUGUAUUUUUUUCCUCUUAACCCCUUUUAAAAUUUCUCCCUUGAGGGUAAAAUCACCAUAUUGAGGGCACAUUUAUUGUAUAUAAUUUUCUGGCUUGUUUUAGAUUUUUUUAUAUAACCACAAAUAUAGUUCAUAUGGUUAAAAGUGGCAAAUUAAUAGUUAUCACAGUUUGUCAUUUUCUAAGCUGUGUUUCAUGCUAUUGCUAUUGCUGAUUGUACUACUUUAGCCAAGGUGACAUAACUGUUCUAAUCAGUUGUUCUUCCUGGUAUAUACCAAGACUGAGGUUGUUUGAGGGUCAUAAACAAUACUAUAGGUCAGUGCCAAAGAACCAGGGGCAGGACCAAAUAGGUAGCAACUUUUCAUCCCCAAUAAAUUGAAGAAAUACAAUCUUGCAAAAGACUCAAAACCCAAAAGCCAGCUAUACCUGGAAAACAUCUCUGAGAAGUAGUCAUUUCCUAAGAGUUCUAAAUACUAGAAAUAAAUCUACCUGCCAUAAGCAAUUUACAAACAUCAACCCAGGAAUUAUUUUUUUGUUCUGUUUUGUUUUGUUCCAGUACUGGGGAUCGAACUCAGGACCUUGUACUUUUGAGGCAGGCAUGACACCAUUGAGCUAAAUCUCCAACCCCCCAGGAAUUAAACUAAAAGAAAAUAGAAAAUGAGAAGACAUGGAAGCAAGAUGCAACCCCAGACUUCCAGGUCACCAAAGGCAGACCCCGGAGGGAAUUGACAUGGAACAAUUCAAAGACACCCACCUGGACUCUCUGAAGUGGUAACAGCAGAAGUAACAAAGCAGAUGAUUGAGGCUCUAGAAAAAAAAUCUAAUUCGAAAUUUCCGGGCCGGGGAUUUUGCUCAAUGGCACCAUGCCUGCCUUGCAUGUGCAAGGUCCUGAGUUUGAUCUCCGGUACCACAAAAAAAAAAAAAAAAAGAAUUUCUCAGAUAAUUACAGAGAUGGUGACUGUAAUGAAAGACAUGGUUAGUGAUUCUAGGGGAGAUACAGAUAAAAAAUAUAUAUAAGAGCUUAGGAAAAUGAUGGAAACCUUGAACACUCAACAUAGGAAAGAAAUGGAAUCCAUGAAACAAUUCAAACAGAUAUCCAGGAGAUUAAAAAUUCCAUUGAAUUUAUACGGAGCAGAAUGAACCAAUGUGAGGAUAGGAUAUCAGAUCUAGAAUCAGGACUGUGGUUAGCAAUCAUAAAAAGAAAGAUUACUUAAAAAUUGCAAGGGACCACGAAAAAUCAAUCCAACAGCUGCUAGAUGACGCAAAGACGAGUAAUAUAAGAUUGACCAGAGUCAAUAAAAAGCAGGAGAUAGCGCAAAUUGAAACCAAAAGUGUAAAUGAGGACCAAAAUAUAUAAUAGAUAUUGGGAAAUGGGAAGAAAAUGUUCAAAUGGGAAGAGGAAUAAGGGGGGGGGGGGGCAAGGAAGGGACAAGAAAAAAAAGAGAAUAGAAGGAAAAAUGUAAACAAAGCUUUUGUAAAUAAGGAGGGGAAGAGGAUUUGAAGGGAGGGGAGGGGAAUUGGAAAAAAAGCAGCAGCAAGACAUAUCAUGUACAGGUACAAAUUCCCUAUGAUGAAUGUGGUCAUUACGUAUAUCUAAAUUGUACCAAUAAAAAAAAAGAAUCAGUGAACCCAAGAGUUGGUUCUUUGAAUGAUUAAAUAAAAUUGACAAACCCUUAGCCAACCUUGUCAAAAAAAAGGAAAGGAAAGACUCAAAUCCAUGCAAUCAGGAAUAAAAAGGGGCUAGGUAUGGUGGCGGAUCCCUGUAAUCCCAGCAUUCAGGAGGCUGAGGCAGGAAGAUCUCCACAAGUUGGU